rnacentral:rRNA from 1 species
GGGCGUAAAGCGUGUGUAGGCUGCGCGGAAAGUCAAAUGUGAAAGCCCGGGGGCUCAACCUCGGAACUGCAUUCGAUACUCCCGUGCUAGAGUAAUGGAGAGGUAAGUGGAAUUCCUGGUGUAGCAGUGAAAUGCGUGGAUAUCAGGAGGAACAUCAAUGGCGAAGGCAACUCACUGGACAGUUCCUGACGCUGAGGCUCGAAGGCUAGGGGAGCGAAAGGGAUUAGAUACCCCUGUAGUCCUAGCAGUAAACGGUGUGCGCUUGGUGUGGGAGGAAUCGACCCCUUCUGUGCCGGAGCUAACGCGUUAAGCGCACCGCCUGGGAAGUACGGUCGCAAGAUUAAAACUCAAAGAAAUUGACGGGGACCCGCACAAGCGGUGGAGUAUGUGGCUUAAUUCGAUGCAACGCGAAGAACCUUACCUGGGCUUGACAUGCCGUCGUAGAUCUUGAAAGGGAUCGUCAGUUCGGCUGGACGUGCACAGGUGCUGCAUGGCU